GAUGAACGCUGUCGGCGUGCCUAAUACAUGCAAGUCGAGCGAACGGACGAGAAUCUUGCUUCUCUGAUGUUAGCGGCGGACGGGUGAGUAACACGUGGAUAACCUACCUAUAAGACUGGGAUAACUUCUGGACACCGGAGCUAAUACCGGAUAAUAUUUUGAACCGCAUGGUUCAAAAGUGAAAGACGGUCUUGCUGUCACUUAUAUAUGGAUCCGCGCUGCAUUAACUAGUUGGUAAGGUAACGGCUUACCAAGGCAACGAUGCAUAGCCGACCUGAGAGGGUGAUCGGCCACACUGGAACUGAGACACGGUCCAGACUCCUACGGGAGGCAGCAGUAGGGAAUCUUCCGAAAUGGGCGAAAGCAUGACGGAGCAACGCCGCGUGAGUGAUGAAGGUCUUCGGAUCGUAAAACUCUGUUAUUAGGGAAGAACAUAUGUGUAAGUAACUGUGCAAAUCUUGACGGUACCUAAUCAGAAAGCCACGGCUAACUACGUG
rnacentral:rRNA from 1 species